CCCACUUUGUUCUGAUGGAAACUUUACAUAAACUAAGCUUGACAUGGAAGUUUUGCAUUACCAGCAAGAAACAUUAAACCAUACUGGAAACAGUAAUUCAGCUUUGCAUUCUUCGUGACCUACUAGGGUGCCAGCAGUCGCGGUCAUACCCUGACGGAAGUAAAACAUCUUAGGAUGGCUUUUGCCUAAAAUAAGAAAUAUAGGUGAAAUUACUUUUCUUUUCAUCCAUCAGGCGAUAUUUUGCCUAAACUCAAACGGUAAACUGGGAUUAGAUACCCCAUUAUACAGAGCUAAAAUUUUAACCUAAGCACUAAGACUUUAUAGUUAAAACUUAAAGGACAUGGCGGCGGUAUUUAUUCAGGGGAACUUACCAGAUAAAUGACAAUCCACAAGGGACCACCCUAAUCUUUAAAGCAUGUAUACCACCGUCAAGAACUCACUUUAGGUAAGUUCAAUUAGUUUUCCACCUAAAGACAGGUCAUGGUGCAGCUCAUAGUUUAGUUCUAGGCGAGUUACAAUAUUUAAUUUAUAUAUUUUCUUCCUAUGAAAAAGGUUGAAAAGUAGGACUUGAAAGUAAACCCUUCUUUAAAAGAAAUAUCUAUUGAAUUUUCUUUACCGUGCACAAAUCGCCCGUCACUCUCCUUGGAAAAGGAGAUAAGUCGUAACACAGUAAGGGUAAUGGAAAUUGCCCUU
rnacentral:rRNA from 1 species